rnacentral:rRNA from 1 species
CCUACGGGUGGCUGCAGUGAGGAAUAUUGGUCAAUGGACGAGAGUCUGAACCAGCCCAGUAGCGUGAAGGAUGACUGUCCUAUGGGUUGUAAACCUCUUUUAUAUGGGAAUAAAAUGUUCCACGUGUGGGAUUUUGUAUGUACCAUAUGAAUAAGGAUCGGCUAACUCCGUGCCAGCAGCCGCGGUAAUACGGAGGAUCCGAGCGUUAUCCGGAUUUAUUGGGGUUAAAGGGAGCGCAGGUGGAUUGUUAAGUCAGUUGUGAAAGUUUGCGGCUCAACCGUAAAAUUGCAGUUGAAACUGGCAGUCUUGAGUACAGUAGAGGUGGGCGGAAUUCGUGGUGUAGCGGUGAAAUGCUUAGAUAUCACGAAGAACUCCGAUUGCGAAGGCAGUUCACUGGACUGCAACUGACACUGAGGCUCGAAAGUGUGGGUAUCAAACAGGAUUAGAUACCCUAGUAGUC